UUAUAAAACAAAAAUCAACGUUUUGUUUGCGUGUGUGUGUUGAUGUGCGUGUGUUAUACACGCACACUGUACACAGACACGAACCGAUCCCGACCAAAACCAAACUCCUCCUUCCCCCCUCCUCCCUCCGUUCUCUCUCUCCUCCUCUCCCUCCCCCCGGUCCCUUAUGCUCAGUUCAGUGUGUGUCUCCUCUUUCAAAGGGCGCAAGGGUGGGAACAAGUCGUCCAACAAAGCAUGUUACAGUGCAGACAUGACUUGUCCGCCAGAAAGCGAGAAAAUAGUGAUAAACUGCGGGGGGGUGAGACACGAAACCUACCGCAGUACCCUAAAGACGUUGCCCGGUACCCGCUUAUCGUGGCUCACAGAGCCGGAUGCAUUUAACAACUUCGAUUAUGAUCCCAAAAAUGACGAGUUCUUCUUUGAUCGCCACCCGUCCGUCUUUUCUUUCAUCCUCAACUACUACCGGACUGGAAAGUUGCACUGUCCGAACGAUGUAUGCGGUCCACUGUUCGAAGAAGAGUUGGCGUUUUGGGGCAUCGACGAGACGGACGUUGAGGCGUGCUGCUGGAUGAAUUACCGACAACACAGGGACGCGGAGGAAGCGCUGGACAGUUUUGAGACUCCAGAGCCUGACCCUCCCGAAGAUGACCCCGCACUAGGAGGAGCGGAUGGGGACCUGAAAAGACUGUGUCUGCAAGAGGACGGAAGGAAAGUCGGCUGGUGGCGCGUUUGGCAGCCCAAAAUUUGGGCGCUUUUUGAGGAUCCCUAUUCAUCUAAAUAUGCCCGGUAUGUGGCAUUCGGCUCCCUCCUGUUUAUCCUCAUCUCCAUCUCCACCUUCUGCCUGGAGACGCAUGAGGCCUUCAACACCAUCUACAACAAGACAGAAAAUGUGACGGUGGGCGAUGUCACACGGGAGGAGACUGUCUUCGAGGUGGUCACCGACAGCUGGCUGACCUACGUGGAAGGUGUGUGUGUCAUCUGGUUCACCAUUGAGGUCCUGCUCCGUGUCAUUUUCUGCCCGGACAAGGCUGAGUUCUUCAAGAGCGCCCUCAACAUCAUCGACUUUGUUGCAAUCCUGCCUUUCUACCUGGAGGUGGGGCUGAGUGGCCUUUCCUCCAAGGCGGCUAAGGACGUGCUGGGCUUCCUGCGAGUGGUGCGCUUUGUUCGAAUCCUGAGAAUCUUCAAGCUGACCCGACAUUUUGUGGGUCUGCGCGUCUUGGGCCACACCCUAAGGGCCAGUACCAAUGAAUUCCUUCUCCUCAUCAUCUUCUUAGCCUUAGGUGUCCUGAUCUUUGCCACCAUGAUCUACUAUGCUGAGAGGAUUGGUGCUGACCCAAACGACCCCACUGCCAGUGCCCACACAAACUUCAAGAACAUCCCCAUUGGGUUCUGGUGGGCAGUGGUGACCAUGACAACACUUGGCUAUGGGGAUAUGUAUCCAGUCACAUGGUCAGGGAUGUUGGUGGGAGCGUUGUGUGCUUUAGCUGGUGUGUUGACCAUUGCUAUGCCUGUCCCUGUCAUUGUCAACAACUUUGGGAUGUACUACUCCCUGGCCAUGGCCAAACAGAAGCUGCCCAAAAAGAAGAACAAGCAUAUCCCCAGGGCACCCCAGCCUGGAUCGCCCAACUACUGCAAACCUGAUGCCCUUGCAAUGGCCACUGCCUCACCCCAGAGAAUCCUCGGAAAUGUUUUGGGUGGGCUUGUUGGGUCAGGAAAUGUUGGAGGAGACUGUCCCCUGGCACAAGAAGAAAUUAUUGAAAUCAACAGAGACGCCAAGCAGAAUGGAGAUGCUGCCAAUGCUGCCCUGGCCAAUGAGGACUGCCCGACGAUCGACCAGGUGCUGAGCCCGGAGGAGAAGAGCCCAGCGGCGGGAGGGGGUGGAGUUGGGCGGGAACGCUACCAGCACGAUCGCGCCUGCUUCCUGCUCAGCACCGGCGAGUUCAGGGCCACAGAUGGGAAUGUGAGGAAAGAUUAAUAUACUGGUACAUCUCCAUCCCAUUCUCAGGCCACCUGUACAGUCCUCGUAGCAUAACAAAAGUUUGAACUGAGUGUUGAGUUUCUAAAAUCCUCCUUUUCUCUAAAGAAGAAAGUAUAAGAUUGAUCAGUUGAUCAUGAAUUCACGGAUGGAGCCUCAUUACCAAGAUGUGAGACACAGAUCGAGGGACAGCGAUGAUAGGGACAGAGAAGGAAUAUGAAGAAAAUAUGAAUUGUGAAGUCAGAACUGUAACCAAAGCAACCUCAUGGGACUUCUGCAACUCCAGCUUCUGUGGACUUCUGUGGCAACCUGCAAACAAGCGGAAAGAUCCAUGGACACACUCAAAAACCAACAGCGUCCUAAUGCACCACAACACUGCGAAAGCUGAUUCUCACUACCACACCAACUGACUGCUGCGAUGAUUCCCUGAGCAAGUAACGAUACUCAAAUGCAUCAACUGACUAAGUGACUUAAGCCCCAUGACCAAACAUGUAGCAUCUCUGCUAACACACUGUAGCAUUUGUUGGCCGAGAACAGACUGACAGACACCCUUUUAACUGACAGGAUGAAUAGACUGACAUGGAACAACUCACUGAUGCAUGCGUGUCUUAUCUCUGUUCCGUCCUACCCUUAAACCUAUUUGCACGAGAGACUUUAGAACCAACCCUUGCCAUAACAGAUGAAAGUGAGAUACGCACCCCUAUACCUUCCACCGCUGAAAACAGGCAAUAUGGAUUGGAAAAGGAAAAAGGUACCUAGUGUUAGAAAGUGAUAUGGAAAAUGGACACAGAACAAUGAUUUUUCUCUACCACUCAUUUAUUCUGUCGUGAAUCUGCUGGGACUUGACCCUGUGCACUCUCCAUGUUCACUCAUCAUACUGCAUCAACCAACCCUCAGUUUAUUUGAGAAUUAAGCUGCAAAACCCUUCUGGGACUCUUCAAAAAAUCUUCCCUGGUGGAUUCUCAUACAGCUGAGCACAUUUAGACAGAACCAAGACAGGGAUACACCAUCAGCAUUAUUUUGCAAAAUAAAUCAAAGUGCAAUUUCUUUGGUAACAGUAUCCUUAACCACUGGGAAAUGAAUCAACAUCAAAACUGACUUCAGUUGUUCCCCUGGAUUCUAUGCGACUGAAUACCCAUCAUAGCUACACAAUCAUAACAACCAGACUCACUUCUUACUACACUGUGCUCUUCAGUAUGCCUCCCUCCACAUUGCUUUCCACUCUUCAAUACACUUUUUCUCUAUUACUCCUCUCUAUGCAUUACUCCUCACCCUACAUUACUCCGCUCUCUGUAUUACUCCUCUGUCUGCAUUACUCCUCACUCUACAUUUUGCUCCUCUCUCUGCAUUACCCCUCACUCUACAUUUUACUCCUCUCUCUGCAUUACUCCUCACCCUACAUUACUCCUCUGUCUGCAUUACUCUUCUCUAUGCAGUACUCCUUUGUCUGUAUUACUCCUCACCCUACAUUACUCCUCUCUCUGCAUUACUCUUCUCUAUGCAGUACUCCUUUGUCUGUAUUACUCCUCACCCUACAUUACUCCUCUCUCUGCAUUACUCCUCACCCUACAUUUUACUCCUCUCUCUGAAUUACUCCUCACACUACAUUUUACUCCUCUCUCUGAAUUACUCUACUUUCUGCAUUACUCCUCUCUCUACAUUACUCCUCACUCUACAUUACUACUCUCUGAAUUACUCCUCUCUCUGCAUUACUUUUUACUCUUUUCUCUUCCAUCCUUACACAUUCUGUACUUUCCCCCUCAGAUAAAAUGGACUGUAAAAGAAAAAAAAACAUCUUAUAUUAAGACUUGAUUGCCAUCAAUUAUUUUGUACUUACAAAUUUUCAGACUUUCUAUGACUCCCAUCUCUCCAUUUUACUUAGACAGCCUCAGUUAUAAAAGGCCAAUCAUAUUCAGACUGACCAUGCUUGAUAGUCUAACAAAAAACAAUGAAAUUGCAAUACACUGGCAUCUAUGAUAAACAAAGAUUAAAUAUAUUUCAUGAUGUAAUUGGGGGUGUUCAGAUUAAACCCAAAGACUGAUGGGUAUCCCAAUUGUACCAAAGCUGUAACAAUGGUUCUGAAAAGUAAGAGCAAGGUCUUGGCUAAGGUGAUGGGGAAUGGAACUUUGUGUCAUUUUAAACUUAUUUUUCUACCCCAAAUUAAUAAUUGUACAUUCUUACAGAAGAGAUUUCCAUGGUAACAUUUCCCACACCAUUACCAGUCUUCCAUUAGUUACCAUUAUUUUUAUAAAAACAAUUAUAUAUGAUAUAAGAAGAUAUACUAAAUGUGGUACUAUAUAUAUAUAUAUAUAUAUAUAUAUCCCUAGUCUGAAAUAGCCCCCUACACUGUGAAUUCAUUGACAGUAAGUUCAUUAACAGACACUUAUUCAGUCAAGUAUACUGCCUAGAUGUUGGACCUAAGCGUGUGUUGGGAAUAGAAUAAAAAAAACCCAACAUGUGACCGGAUCCUAAUUUUUAAACCAUAUUGGUUUUGAGAGCUAUAUGGAAGAAUAAACAAUGCACUCACCUGAGCCAAUUUAUCAUCCAUAAAUAGAUUGGAUAAGGUCCUGUGCAAGAUCACUAGAGUCUCACACAUCCCAAUCCCAAAGCCUUACCACAUAACCUACUAAACAAAAUGGACCAGGAGGCUCCCCAUGGAUCCAGCUUAUAUCAUCCGUGGAAGCAAAUUAGCUCAUCCACCUUCACAUUUUGACAUAACCCAGCAAUGCCCUGACCAUGAUACAAGUAGCACUCAACUUUGUACUUCGAAUUGUGUGAUGAUCAGAGUCAUCCAAUCACCUAGCUAAGCCCAUUGUCAUUAAAGGUGCCCAAUGACAACCUUCUCACAGCCAACACAAAAACCAAUCAAAGGGCCCCAGCUUCUUCAGUGGUUCCUUUUUGAAGGCAGUACAUUGAGCCAGUAUGACAUUGUAUCUCACCUGUCCAAAAUAAUUAUCAAAUGUACUUUUUAGUCAUAUACCCAGGAUCAGCCUUAAGCCAGCAACCUGGAUAAUUUAGCUAAACCAUCCGUUGUGUUAUAUUUUGUCACAAUCUAUUUUAAAUCAGUAAUCCAAUCAAACCAAGCAAACAAAAAGCAUCAAUCCACUGAAUCAACUGUCAACAAAGAUCAACUCCACCACCUCUUUGGUGAAGAAACUGAAUAAUCCAUGUGGAGCUAAUUAUCCUGCUGCUAAAUGGAAUUUAUGCAUUGUUUGAAAUACUCAACAAAAAAAACCCACAUUUACUGCCCAUAAUCUCAAACAAAUUAGGUUCUUGUACCAUGAGCAUGUGAUUAACUGAAUGAACUGAGGAGAAUAAAUAGGGGACAGACAUUUCUUUCAAGGUAACAGCAAUUCAAUGGAACAUAUAUACCAACCUUGUUGUAAUAUGUCUGCGUACAGUAAGACGGACUCACAUUCGUAUACUGAUACUGGUCACCAGCUGAAAGACCUGCUCUGCUCUCUGCUCUCUGAAUGAGAAGAAGUGUGCAUUGACCUUGACAGAGAAAGACAGAGAUUGGGCCCUAGAGACAAAGCGCACUAUCUCCCACUAAAAGCACUGAGGUUGGCUCUGGAGAAAUAGACACUUUAUGAGGACACUUUAAGUCAUAUCAAAUAAAUUCAGGUUGUGAGUACUCCUCUGCAUUGCUGUUUUUGCAAGGGAUAGAAAGCAGUGACAAAACAGUGUGGAUGGACACACUGCUCUCUCUCUCUCUCUCUCUCUCCUCUCUCUCUCUCUCUCUCUCUCUCUCUCUCUCUCUCUCUCUCUCUCUCCCCCCCCUUUUACUCUGUUCAAUGUUUCUUUGUGUGACCUCUGUACAGCAUUGCAUGGCAUGAGAAGAAGAAGAGAGAAUGAGCAAGAGAAAAGGAUGGAGUGAAAGAAGAAUUACGAAUGCCAGUGAACAUAUAUAAAACAUAUAUAAAAUCAAAUAUAUUUGGGGGAACACCUACACGUGGGUACUAAGAAUUAAAUGGUUUUUAAUGCAAUGCAAAAUUCCUGAUGUCCUACCUACCAAGCUUACCUGGCUGCCAACAUCUACAAUUAUAAUUAAAAUUGUACUGGAAGUGCUUCAUUGCAGAGAUAACAAAAACAGAAUGGAUUCAAGUACUACAACGGUGAUGACGUUGGUAAACAGUUGUCUUCUGCAUCAAAAAUGGAAUAUUCAGGACUGGCAAAUGAAAGGGAGAUAAAAAAAGGCAUUGCAACUCUGAAAGGACAGAAUGAACACAAAAAAACAAGAGAGAGAUGAACAAUUUCAUAGACAAAAACAGACAAAUCAAAAAAAAGAAGAAAAUGCAUUUUUGUUACUUUGUUUACCAGCAUGACUAUUCUGCAUGACUUUACUUCUACAAGCCCUUACUUGAAGAUGAAGGGGCUGGGAAUUCAAAAAAGAACAAACUGAAGAAUAAAACAGAGAAAAAAACAAUAUGUUAUAUGCAACUAAAAGGGGGGCUGAAAACAGGACUAUAUUAAAAAAAGAGGAUCUAUAUUUUGUUUUUGAUUAAUAAAAAGGUGAAUAAAUAAAAAAAUAUCUAGGAUUGCAAGAUACACAUCGAAUUGUUUUAUUAGAUAUAUGAUACAAUCCCACAAAAUCUGUGUACACUGCAAUUAACUUUUCUUGCUCCAUGUACCACUACUAUCUCUUUACCUUCUAUUUCUCUCACUCUAUGAUGGCUACUUGUUUUCUGAAUUCUCUGCUCCCAUCACUGGUAUUUUUAAACAUUGUUGCUAUCAUGAUAUCAAUAGAUCGACUGUCCUUUUAUUGGGUUCAUAACAUUCUCUUUACUUUUGUUCUGUACAACCCAUCAGAGGUUCCGAGGACGGUACUUCCCCAAGAGCACAUUCCAAAGAAGAGUGGCAGUACUUUUGAUUUUCAAAUAGUUUUCCUCCGUACAGUGUCCUGCAGCUUUGCUAUAGAUGUCUAUCUGAAUUGGCAAUAAUAAUCUGAAAUAUUAUGAUAAGGGGCAAGUUAGUUGUUUUCCAUUUAACCAGAAACCUGAUCAAAUGUCUUUACGGGUGCCCUUGAAUGGAAUCACAUUUGGACUUGUUCUUGGGAAAGUAGCCUGAUGUUUUGUCAUUUGGUGUAGACAACAUAGUACAGUGGUUUCAGUUGAAAAGGGCUGUAUCUGGUAUUACAAUGCAAAGCAAUGUUUGUUCAAUGAAGACAUCUGAUUUAUUUUACGUGUCUGACAAAAAAAUAACAUAUUUAACUAACAUAAAAAAUAUAUUUAUUUUUUUCAUGUUCAUUACUUCUCUGCAAGCAAAAACAGAAGACAAAACAAUAAUGGGUGUAAAGGACUAAGGUGUAUUGCUGUUGGCGCCAUUCACAGAUGUUGAAAAUAGUGUUUGUUUUAAUGAAAGCAGAGUUGCGGGGGGAAGUCAGUGGCAAUCUGGAAUUCAACUAAAAUGUUACCUCUACAGUGCAUGCACACACCAGCCGCUACCCCUCUUGAGUGUCAAAUCUAAAAGCAUAGCGAGAUGGAAAGGAUGAAUUUAAUACUUUGCAUUUGUUUAUUACAUUUGAGAGUAAGCUUGCCAAGUUUAUGGACAAAUGUUAGCAAAAAUAUAUGGAUUGUAUUCUUGGCCCACUGCCACCACUCUCCCAUGUGUAGCUCAAUAAGAUAUACUCAUCCUAUACAUACAAUAGCAUUCAAAAUUAUUUGCACCCUUGGCAACAAUAAGAAAAAAAGACUAUAAAAUAAACAAUGCAAGUAAUGACCUAUCCAUUUUGCUAAAAAAAAAAAUCUGUUAUUUCAUUUGGAACAGAUAGGUAUGGUUAGAUGAGACCAAAAUUAGGCUUUUUUGGUCACACCAUGCAGAUCUAAUCUCCCACAUAGACCAUGUUAUUUUCCAGAUAUUCUACCACACCCACCCCACCCCACCCCUACUCCCCCUGCUUACUGUGUCGUUUUGAAAUGUGCGCGAAGAAAUAGUAACAAAGUUUACACUGUGUAAAUGUUGAUGAAAUUUUUGCUUCAGGGAUAUGAAUUCUCAGUGAUGAGAAAUAUGAAAGGGUCUAGUUGUUUUGAAACAUUCAUGUCCAUAUUGUGCAGUUAGGUCAUGUGCAAAUAUAUUUUAAUAAGCUAUAAUCAUAAUAUUUCCCCAAACACUGCUUAGAGUGAACAAGGUGUACAAGGCCUUCCCUUUGGAGAUCUUAUCACAACUAGUAUUUUAGUUGUGAUGUCAAGGGUGGAAAUAUACCAUAACAGAAGGUUUCCCUGCCAGUAAACCGAACUCUAUAAUUUGUCUACACCUUAUCCUUGCCUGUAUGCACUUCUAUGUCAAAUAUUAACAGUUGUCCUGCUAAUGGGGAAAUGCUCGUAGUUAGAACAUGGGAGAAGUCUUUGAAUGGUCAGUGGCUGUAAUUAGGAUUUUAUCAUGUUAUGCUGUUCCACAGACCUUAAAGCAUCUAUUUUGACUUGAAGAGUGGGGCCCAAGGCAAAGUGCACCCUCAGCCUGUUUUGUUCGGUGUGUUAAAGGCCCAGAGCCACUUGAUCUACAGUUACAGCUGUAGACACCUCCCGGAGCAAGUCUUCAAAUCAGCCCAGGCCCCUGUGCUGUCUCCCUUAGGCCUGCAAGGCUCAGAAGACUCAGUCAUUGACAGAGACGGAAGUGGCCCAGGCUGUUGCAGGCAUAUGACUUGCCAUCCCAAGAUAUAAAGGACAGUGUCACUCAUCACAGUAAGAGCUCCACCAAGUGGUAUGAUUUAGGUGCCAUGCCAGAAUGGGAAGCUCUUUAAUAAAUAAAACAAUAAAUGGAUAAAUAACAACUAGGCCGGGUUCAUUUAUCCAUUUAUUUGUUAUGUGUUCAUUCCAUUUGAGUUCUGUCUCUUAGCACCCUUGCCAAAUGUGUUCAUUUGUCCAUUUAUGAUUUAUGUUUCUUUGUUAUUAAAUACAGAAUUCCACAGUUAUUGUAGAAGGCACUGACCCACUUUUACAAGAGUCACGCAGAUUAACAUUUAGUUCACAGGCAGAAUCUUGAAUCUUGAAUAUAUUCCUGAGUCAAAAAUAUCUAUUCAAUUCAAUUUUCAAUUAAAAUUAAUUUGUGUAGCACUUAAAGAGACACUGUCACAGACACACACAAAAAACAGGAAAUUUGAAAAUUUGGAAAGACCAGACUGAAGUUCUACUGUGUCAUUGAACAAAAGACUUCAUUUAUAACCCCCAAAGAAUUCCAGUUGAUUAAAAAUUAUGCAUUAAAAUAUGUUGGCAUUAAAAUGCACCUCUUGUACAAGAUUCCUUGCAUAUAUAACACCCAACCUGAAAUAAUCAAUAGCCAUACUGAUUCACAUCUCCCAAUCUGUAAACAAACCUAUGCAUGUUCAGUUGGUCCUGGGCUCCUAUCCAGAAUUGAAUUGGUGGUAUAAAAUGACAUGAUUUAAUAUUGGAAAUAAUUUGUUAUAACAUUUAUAUAAAGGGAAAAGAGCAGGAUACUACUAGGUACUGUGGCAACUUGAAUGUUUAUUUUUAUUUUUUUAUUUUUUUUGGGCGGGGGGGUUAUUGGCAAUCAGUCAUUUGAAAUGCAAAGGGAAAUUCAGAUACUACUACUACUACUACUAAUAAUAAUAAUAAUAAUAAUAAUAAUAAUAAUAAUAAUAAUAAUAAUAAUAAUACUAAUAAUAAUAAUAAUAAUUGGGGUUAAAGUCACUGGGGUUGGGCCCAGGUGUUUGAAGGAAAUACAUGAUAGUUUCAGUUAUACCUACCCGUCAAUUAUAAAUACAGGGUAAAAUGUUCUAUUAACUAGAUCUCUGACCAUUGUACACCUGUUUGUAGCAUUAGAAUUUACAAAUGAUCAGGCAAAGGUAUGGGUAUAGAAUAAUACUGAGCAAAGCAACCAUGUCAUUGACAGACCUUCAGGUUUUUCUAGUGACUUUUUUAGGAAGAUUUACAUUACAUGUAGAUCUUGUCUUCACUGUCCAAAGAAACAUAUGACCGGGGAAAGUUGGUAGUGCCUUUUGUGGGACAUGUUUUAGCUGGCCAACAGACUGCCAAAUUGGUUUCAUUUGCUGUAUUCGUAGUUGCAUUUGUAGAGUGAUGAGGAGCAAAGAUGGAUCACAAGUCCAGUACUGCAGUCCAUCACAGGCCAGAAGCACAGCAGGCCUUCAUACCUUUCUCCCAGAAGCCCACAUGUAACAAAAACAUUUUUUUUAAAUCAAGCAGCAUUUGUAGCAUGGGUGUAAGACUAAAGGUUCAGUAUACUAAGAUUUUUUCGUAGUAUUUUUCCAGUCUUUAUCUUUUCUUUCCACUAAUGUCUUACUUUUUCAACAAUUAACAUCUUUGUGUGUACACUUUUCUUCUUUUCCUUUAAUUAUAAAGUAUAACCCAAUCCAGCUUAUUGCCAGACACCUUGCAAGGGCGCUUCACGCUGACUGGUCAAUUUGGAGAGAUAAUGUCAUUUUGAUGAGCAGGCAAACGGACAAGUGCUAAAUAUGGGUGUCUGUGGGAGUGUGAUGCUGUUCAUGUAGCCUCUCGGCCCGUUUCAAGAAGGGAGAGAGAUUUCCUUUGAGGAUGGUAGAGCCAGUGGCUGCUUUAAAAAAAGAGCAUGGUAUUCAGCUGACCAAAUCCAAGCUUAAUUUAUGUAACAUCAUUGCUUUAAAUAGACUAAUUAGCACUGUUUUUGGUAAUAACCUGGCCUGGACUAGGUUAUGUCUCAUUUCCUGUUGUCAUAUGUUUUAAUUUUAUCUGUAUUUUUAUCAUUGUACUGAUCUGCAAUCCUUCUACCUUUCUUUCAUUAUUUAUUUUCUUCUCAAACUCUCUUCUCUCUUUCCUUAACAUACUUAAAGUUUGGCACAAAAUGUUCAGACUCAUUUGAUGUAGCACACACUCACACAUACAUAUGCAUGCACACAAAUGCUAACACUCAAACACAAGCAUAUACACACAUGGUUGUGGAAAGAAAGGUGAGAGAGAUGUUGGGGAAUAGGAUGGCAUUCGUAUAAAAUGACUAUGGGACAGAGAAAGAGAGAGAGAAACAAGGAAAGACAUGAGGAAUUCACACUGCCCAAAACCAGUUUUGUAGAAAACUGCACAGUCCUGGUUAAAUGUAAAAAUAGCCUGUCCUAUGGAUUAAAUGGUGGUUCCACUGUCAGAGCAAUAAUUAGCUAGUUAAAACCCUGCCCAGCUUUUCUGCAGCAGAUUUUUUCACUGGAUUUCUUUUUUUUUUUUUUUUGGUCCCAAUGUUUAUUUAGGGGCACUCUCAUCCAUAUACACAAACUGAAUAGGUAUUGCAUCCAUCUGGAUACUGUGCUUGAUUUUGAAUGAAUUGCAAGACUGCAAGUUUUGUCAUUGAAUAUGUAUCUAUGCAGGAUCGUGCUGUACAUAGGACUGAGACUGGACCAGACUUUAGCUGAAGCUCAUUGAAGGCAAAACCCCCUUGAAAAUAAUGUCAGUAGCAUCAGCUAGUAUCUUUACUUGAAGUCAAACACAGAACAUAUCAGGGGAGUUGGUUUUAGAAUUUGCUGGUAAUUAGUGCUAUUUUCUCUCUCUCUUUUUUUCUACCUAACAUUCCUCUCUCCAAGCCCACAUUUUUCAUGUGCCUCUCUUUUUCUCCCUCCUUCACCAGUAAGGUAUUUUUGUAUCUCUUGCUCUCACUUUUUCCCACAUAUUGUUAUAACGUUGAAUAACGCAUGUCAAAAAAAUGAAAAGCCAGAAUGAAGUCAUUCUUUUUCACUCUUUUUCUGUGUUGAUCUUGUUCUCUAUUGCAAUGAUGAUGAAAGGUCAUGUCUUAGAAACAGUACAUGUACUUAUUUUAGCUUACUGUUAUUGUGUAUUGUUUGGGUCAUAAUCAUUGCAGUUGAUAUUAUUAUCAUCAUUGUCAUUAUUUAUGAAUCAUCAUUUUGUGGUUUUGUUCUGUUUUGGUUUUCUUAGUCAUCUUGCUGUAUAUGUAGAAGCAAACUUUGGUGACCUUUGUUUAAAGAUACUUCAUUACACCACUAUAAAAUAGAAUAUAUUAGAAAUGAUUAUAAUUAUUAUAUUAUUCACAUCAGCAGUAUUAUAUGCUAUUUGCUUUGUGAGAACAAAUAUUAAUGUGAGUACAGAUAUCCCAGGCUUAUUGUGUGAGCCUGAUACAGAGUUAACUAAUUCUUCUUGAAUACCUACAUUUCUUAAGACAGAGGGCAAGUACUAAACUGAUGUUGCCCAAUGGUUCAGUUUCAUGAACCAGUUGAAUGUGAAUUUUACUUUCAAAAUGUGGGAUUUAACAAACUGGUUUUCUAGACAAAUGGAUGCUUUCCUGUAUGUCUGAUAUAUAUUAUAUACAGUAUAUAUAUAUAUAUAUAUAUAUAUAUAUAUGUGUGUGUGUGUGUGUGUGUGUGUAUAUAUAUAUAUAUAUAUAUAUAUAUAUAUGUCAGCAACAUUGCAACAUGUGGAUUGUUAGUGUGUUCAUCCUCAUCAUGUGCCUGUAGUCCUGGUUCUUGUUCACCUUACCCUGUAUCUCGUAGGUAGAUGAUAUACACACAUAGCUCGGGAGCCUGGAACAGUCUCCAAUUCAAAAUUAAAUUUCAUGUGCAUGAUCACAAAGGCAAAUUAUAAAACAUUAUAGUCUCCCUUUUGAAUUUUGUUUUCAUAGCGUGUGUGUAUGUCAAUCUAGUUAUUUAAGUUUGUUUUAAUUUAUAUACUUGAAGUGAUGAUAAACUCUGCAUUCCCACUCCUGGUAUUGUACUUAUGUGUUUUCCAUUGCAGAUAUUACUGAUAAUGAUGAUAAUGAUCACAGAUAAUUACAAUUUUUAAUUAAUUUCUAUGCUGUUAACUUUAUGCAGAAUACAUGAGCAACUUAACAGGAAAUAUGUGUGUUGGUGUGUGCAUAUAUCAUUGCAAUUGCAAAGGUCACUCACAAACUUAAACACACACUUUGCUUAGUAGCUUAGCAAAAAAACUCUCACAAACACCAACA